rnacentral:rRNA from 1 species
CAAUAGCGUAUAUUAAAGUUGUUGCGGUUAAAAAGCUCGUAGUUGGAUUUCUGCUGAGAACGACCGGUCCGCCCUUUGGGUGUGUAUCUGGCUCUUUCUUGGCAUCUUCUUGGUGAACGUUGCUGCACUUGACUGUGUGGAGCGCUACCCAGGACUUUUACUUUGAGGAAAUUAGAGUGUUUCAAGCAGGCAUACGCCUUGAAUACAUUAGCAUGGAAUAAUAAGAUAGGACCUCGGUUCUAUUUUGUUGGUUUCUAGAGCUGAGGUAAUGAUUAAUAGGGAUAGUUGGGGGCAUUCGUAUUUAACUGUCAGAGGUGAAAUUCUUGGAUUUGUUAAAGACGGACUACUGUGAAAGCAUUUGCCAAGGAUGUUUUCAUUGA